CGGCAGCUCGCUGGCGAAGGUGGCGUCGUCGCUGGCAUCGAGGAAGGCAAGGAACUCGAUCAGUGGCGCGUAAUCGACGGCAUCGUCGCCGGAAUCGCCGGCUUCCAGAUCGAACGCGACCGUGUAGGCAGAGGCAUCCUCACCCUUGUAGCUCCAGUCGCCUUCGGCCUCGCUCUUGAAGAGGCGGCCAUCGGCGGAGAAGUGGGCCGCCAUCCAGUCAUCCUUCGGGUGCU
rnacentral:misc_RNA from 1 species